CUCUGUCUUUUGGGACGAUAAUGACGGUACCAAAGGAGGAAGCCACGGCUAACUACGUGCCAGCAGCCGCGGUAAUACGUAGGUGGCAAGCGUUGUCCGGAAUUACUGGGCGUAAAGGAUGUGUAGGCGGAUAUUUAAGUGAGAUGUGAAAUCCCCGAGCUCAACUUGGGGGCUGCAUUUCAAACUGGGUAUCUAGAGUGCAGGAGAGGAAAGCGGAAUUCCUAGUGUAGCGGUGAAAUGCGUAGAGAUUAGGAAGAACAUCAGUGGCGAAGGCGGCUUUCUGGACUGUAACUGACGCUGAGGCAUGAAAGCGUGGGGAGCAAACAGGAUUAGAUACCCUGGUAGUCCACGCCGUAAACGAUGAGUACUAGGUGUAGGAGGUAUCGACUCCUUCUGUGCCGCAGUUAACACAAUAAGUACUCCGCCUGGGAAGUACGGUCGCAAGAUUAAAACUCAAAGGAAUUGACGGGGGCCCGCACAAGCAGCGGAGCAUGUGGUUUAAUUCGAAGCAACGCGAAGAACCUUACCUAGACUUGACAUCCCCUGAAUAACGUAGAGAUACGCGAAGCCCUUCGGGGCAGGGAGACAGGUGGUGCAUGGUUGUCGUCAGCUCGUGUCGUGAGAUGUUGGGUUAAGUCCCGCAACGAGCGCAACCCUUAUCAUUAGUUGCUACCAUUUAGUUGAGCACUCUAGUGAGACUGCCCGGGUUAACCGGGAGGAAGGCGGGGAUGACGUCAAAUCAUCAUGCCCCUUAUGUCUAGGGCUACACACGUGCUACAAUGGUGAGAACAACGAGAUGCAAUACCGCGAGGUGGAGCAAAACUUCAAAACUCAUCUCAGUUCGGAUUGUAGGCUGAAACUCGCCUACAUGAAGUUGGAGUUGCUAGUAAUCGCGAAUCAGAAUGUCGCGGUGAAUACGUUCCCGGGCCUUGUACACACCGCCCGUCACACCAUGAGAGCUGGUAACACCCGAAGUCCGUGA
rnacentral:rRNA from 1 species